GCACUACAACCUCGCCCCUUUGCAGAGGAGGACUCCGAGGCUCAGAGGCGUUAAGGAAUUAGUUUGGGGUCACAGGGAGGAAGCUGAGGCUCAGAAGGGCUGAGCCCACCUGCCCCUGGACUCCGAGGGCCAAGGAAGGAUACAUUCCCAGGAUCACGGCUUCCAGGCAUUUGAUUGGCAGAGCCUCUUUGGUCAUUUCCUUGGCCAUGUCCAUCAGCCUGGGGAAAGGGGGAGGCAGAGCAUUGAGGACAGAUUAUCCAGUCCCUUACGGUAGGGGGUGGUCAGAAGGAGGGAGCAGGUCUAGAAGUGCUACAGGACAAAGCGCUCCCUCCCUUCUGGCUCAGGCCCAGCACCUGUCCUCCUGCCUCAAGUCUGUCCUAAGGGAGGACAGAAGAGGCAGCCAUUGAAAAUAAAGAAGGAACCCCCUUCCCCCACCCCUCCCCUCCUUUCACUUCCUCCUCCCA